rnacentral:rRNA from 1 species
GACGAACGCUGGCGGCGUGCCUAAUACAUGCAAGUAGAACGCUGAAGGAGGAGCUUGCUUCUCUGGAUGAGUUGCGAACGGGUGAGUAACGCGUAGGUAACCUGCCUGGUAGCGGGGGAUAACUAUUGGAAACGAUAGCUAAUACCGCAUAAGAGUAGAUGUUGCAUGACAUUUGCUUAAAAGGUGCAAUUGCAUCACUACCAGAUGGACCUGCGUUGUAUUAGCUAGUUGGUGGGGUAACGGCUUACCAAGGCGACGAUACAUAGCCGACCUGAGAGGGUGAUCGGCCACACUGGGAGUGAGACACGGCCCAGACUCCUACGGGAGGCAGCAGUAGGGAAUCUUCGGCAAUGGACGGAAGUCUGACCGAGCAACGCCGCGUGAGUGAAGAAGGUUUUCGGAUCGUAAAGCUCUGUUGUAAGAGAAGAACGAGUGUGAGAGUGGAAAGUUCACACUGUGACGGUAUCUUACCAGAAAGGGACGGCUAACUACGUG